AUCUGCCCAUUUGAGGGGGAUACCAGUUGGAAACGACUGUUAAUACCGCAUAAUAUCUGUGGAUUAAAGGUGGCUUUCGGGCUGUCGCAGAUGGAUGAGCCUGCGUUGGAUUAGCUAGUUGGUGGGGUAAGGGCCCACCAAGGCUACGAUCCAUAGCUGAUUUGAGAGGAUGAUCAGCCACAUUGGGACUGAGACACGGCCCAAACUCCUACGGGAGGCAGCAGUGGGGAAUAUUGGACAAUGGGGGCAACCCUGAUCCAGCAAUGCCAUGUGUGUGAAGAAGGCCCUAGGGUUGUAAAGCACUUUAGUUGGGGAGGAAAGCCUCAAGGUUAAUAGCCUUGGGGGAGGACGUUACCCAAAGAAUAAGCACCGGCUAACUCCGUGCCAGCAGCCGCGGUAAUACGGGGGGUGCAAGCGUUAAUCGGAAUUACUGGGCGUAAAGGGUCUGUAGGUGGUUUGUUAAGUCAGAUGUGAAAGCCCAGGGCUCAACCUUGGAACUGCAUUUGAUACUGGCAAACUAGAGUACGGUAGAGGAAUGGGGAAUUUCUGGUGUAGCGGUGAAAUGCGUAGAGAUCAGAAGGAACACCAAUGGCGAAGGCAACAUUCUGGACCGAUACUGACACUGAGGGACGAAAGCGUGGGGAUCAAACAGGAUUAGAUACCCUGGUAGUCCACGCUGUAAACGAUGAGUACUAGCUGUUGGAGUCGGUGUAAAGGCUCUAGUGGCGCAGCUAACGCGAUAAGUACUCCGCCUGGGGACUACGGCCGCAAGGCUAAAACUCAAAGGAAUUGACGGGGACCCGCACAAGCGGUGGAGCAUGUGGUUUAAUUCGAUGCAACGCGAAGAACCUUACCUGGUCUUGACAUCCUGCGAACUUUCUAGAGAUAGAUUGGUGCCUUCGGGAACGCAGUGACAGGUGCUGCACGGCUGUCGUCAGCUCGUGUUGUGAAAUGUUGGGUUAAGUCCCGCAACGAGCGCAACCCCUAUUGAUAGUUACCAUCAUUAAGUUGGGUACUCUAUUAAGACUGCCGCUGACAAGGCGGAGG
rnacentral:rRNA from 1 species